rnacentral:rRNA from 1 species
UGUGAUUCAAUUACCGCUGCUCCAAGGAUUAAGUCCAUGCAUGUCUUAAGAUAUAGCAAAUUUAUUCUGCGGAACCUGGCGAAUGGGCUCAUAUAUAUAAGUUAUCCGUUUAUUUGAUAGUACCUUACUACUUGGAUAACCGUGGUAAUUCUAGAGCUAAUACAUGCUUAAAAAUCCCGACUUCGGAAGGGGAUGUAUUUAUUAGAUUAAAAACCAAUGGCCCCUCGGGGCUCUCUGGUGAUUCAUAAUAACUUCUUCGAAUCGCAGGGCCUUGCGCCGGCGAUGGGUUCAUUCAAAUUUCUUCCCUAUCAACUUUCGAUGUUUGGGUAGUGGCCAAACAUGGUUGCAACGGGUAACGGAGGGUUAGGGCUCGACCCCGGAGAAGGAGCCUGAGAAACGGCUACUACAUCCAAGGAAGGCAGCAGGCGCGCAAAUUACCCAAUCCCGAUUCGGGGAGGUAGUGACAAUAAAUACUGAUACAGGGCUCUUUCGGGUCUUGUAAUUGGAAUGAGUACAAUUUAAAUCCCUUAACGAGGAACAAUUGGAGGGCAAGUUUGGUGCCAGCAGCCGCGGUAAUUCCAGCUCCAAUAGCGUAUAUUAAAGUUGUUGUGGUUAAAAAGCUUGUAUUUGAACCUUGGGCCUGGCUGGCCGGUCCGCCUCACCGCGUGUCACUGGUCCGGCCGGGUCUUUCCCUUUGUGGAACCACAUGCCCUUCACUGGGGGUGGCGGGGAAAACAGGACUUUUACUUUGAAAAAAUUAGAGUGCUCCAGGCAGGCCUAUGCUUGAAUACAUUAGCAUGGAAAUAAUGAAAUAGGACGUGCGGUUUUAUUUUGGUUGGUUUCCUACGGACCGCCGUAAUGAUUAAUAGGGAACAGUCGGGGGCAUCAGUAUUCAUUUGUCAGAGGUGAAUUUCUUGUAUUUAUUGAAGACUAACUACUGCGAAAGCAUUCUGCCAAGGAUGUUUUUCAUUAAUCAGGACACGAAAUUUCAGGAGGAUCGAAGACGAUCAGAUACCUGUUCGAUAGUUUUACCCAUAAACUUUGCCGACUAGGGAAUCGGAACGAUGUUUAUUUAGUUGACUUCGUUCGUCAUCUUGACGAGAAACUCAAAGUGCUUGGGCUUCCCAGGGGGGAAGUUUCGCUCGCAAGCCUAGAACCCUCAAAGAUAUAUUUCGACGGAAGAAUC